UACGUAGGCAGCGAGCGUUGUUCGGAGUUACUGGGCGUAAAGGGCGCGUAGGUGGCCCGAUAAGUCGGGUGUGAAACGCUGCGGCUCAACCGCAGCACUGCCUUCGAGACUGUCAGGCUUGAGCACGGUAGAGGCUGGUGGAAUUCCCGGUGUAGCGGUGGAAUGCGUAGAGAUCGGGAAGAACAUCGGUGGCGAAGGCGGCCAGCUGGGCCGUUGCUGACACUGAGGCGCGACAGCGUGGGGAGCAAACAGG
rnacentral:rRNA from 1 species